rnacentral:rRNA from 1 species
AGUGAACGCUGGCGGUAGGCCUAACACAUGCAAGUCGAACGGCAGCACAGUAAGAGCUUGCUCUUACGGGUGGCGAGUUGCGGACGGGUGAGGAAUACAUCGGAAUCUACUUUUUCGUGGGGGAUAACGUAGGGAAACUUACGCUAAUACCGCAUACGACCUACGGGUGAAAGCAGGGGAUCUUCGGACCUUGCGCGAUUGAAUGAGCCGAUGUCGGAUUAGCUAGUUGGCGGGGUAAAGGCCCACCAAGGCGACGAUCCGUAGCUGGUCUGAGAGGAUGAUCAGCCACACUGGAACUGAGACACGGUCCAGACUCCUACGGGAGGCAGCAGUGGGGAAUAUUGGACAAUGGGCGCAAGCCUGAUCCAGCCAUACCGCGUGGGUGAAGAAGGCCUUCGGGUUGUAAAGCCCUUUUGUUGGGAAAGAAAAGAAGCAGGUUAAUAACCCGCUGUUCUGACGGUACCAAAAGAAUAAGCACCGGCUAACUUCGUG